GUUAAAUUUUGAUAUUAAAAUAGAUCAGAAAAUUAUUUAACAUGGUAAGUGCUAAAAGAAAAAUAUAAAUAUUUUCUGGUAUAAAUAUUGCUUUGAGAAUGAAUCUAGUCAUCAAGUUUAAUCAGUGAUCAAGUUAAUCACUGAUUAUUUCUAAAAUAAUUAUGGUUUGUUUCAACUUACUGCUUGAAUUUAUGGAAAGAGUUUAAAGUUAUGUCGUAGAAUAUUCUAACUUACUCUGAGAACAUUUUACUAUUUGAGUCAUUGGCUCUGCCUAAUUCUUUUUCUGAACAUCUAAAUUUUCAUUUAUAGCUCAUCCAUUUAUGCUAGAAACAUUGAGGUACCUUGCUCUUAUGGAAUUCCCUGAGCCCUCAUUUUACAUGCUAAGUUUACUCUUUCAUAAUGACUUUCAUUAUUUUUAAUCAUCCCAUUUUCUGCUUCAUCAUAUAGUUUUUCUAUAAGUAGGGAGAGUUAAUUUUAGUUCCUUUUUUAUUUCCUCUAAGGUUAUCCUCUUUAUCUACACCCUUUUCCAUAGAUUUAUUAUUAUAGGAAUAAAGCAUUCCCAUAACAUAGUAAAGAAAAAAUGCAGCAUCUUGAUUACUACAAGUUUAUUAUCCUAUAAAUUUGAAAAUAAGGUACAUGAUAGGCUCCAUUGGCUUCUGUGCUUUUGUCUGCUUUGGGUAGCAUCUUAUAAGCACAACCAACACCAGAACCUACUUCAAGUACUGUUGAUGUACCUGUGGUCUACUGUUUCCUUACUGGCUGUUGAUGCUAUUUUUUUUCCUUUUUUUUUUUAUAGCUUAUUCCUUAAGAGAGUGAAUUAAUUAUCUGACAUAAUCAUCUCCUUUCAGGUCUAUUCUAUUCCCUCUUCUAUAUUCACCCUAUACAGAAAAGAAAAAAGAGAGGAAAGAAAGAAAAAGGACCCAGUCCAGACAUGUAGCUAUUGAAGGGAGUUCUUAAAAAGUGUGAUGUAAUGUGAUAUAAAUGUGGAAGUAUAAUUCUCUUGAUUGCACCUACAGGAGUGAGGAAAGGUACAAACACAGCUUUCUUCAAGAGUGUAUGCCCUGAUAUGCCAAUCCAGGCACAUAAUUCUGGCACAUUAAUUAAGGAAUAUAGGCCUGGUUAUGUUGGCCAACCAUGAUCAAGUAGAAGACUACUCAAGGGUAUAUGAGUAUACAAAUUGAACUUGAUUUUUUGCCUUCUUUUUAUUCCCCCACCCCAACAUAAUAGUUCAGUUAUUUGGGAAUUUCUGUAAGGACCUUUGUGGGGCAACAGGCUACACACAGACAACCUGGUCUCCAGUCAUGCUUAGGUCUUGAGCCCUGGUAAGACCCAGUGGGUGAUAAUUCCCACCUACAUGAGAAGGAAGGCUUUCGAUCAUGUCUCCUGGACCCCUCGCUCCUGUCUAAGUUACUGCCCCCACAGCCCCCACAGGAGAGGCAUGUGGCUAUCAGUCACAUAGGAGCAGCACCAAACCUUCCCACAUGCAAAUAAGGUUUCCUCCAAACUCUCAGUCCAAGCCAAUGAGAGUCCAAGCCUGCUGUUGAACCCUGAAUCACCCCCAGAACUGUUUAUAAAUCCAUCCAGGGAAUUAAAGGUGCAUGAGAAGUACUCCUUUGUCUGAGUCUUUUGUUCCAAGAGCUGUAUGUAACACUUGGGAAGAGAUCUUCUCUCCCAAAGAGCCACCUGAGGUCCUGCCACAAUCCUCACUGGAUAGUCUGCUUUUCAUGGGCCCAGCCAGACCCAAAUCAGUUCAGAGUGGAUCUGAGUUACUGAGGGAGUGACCUGGAAGGCACAGCAGAGACUUCUCCUGUCUCCCUGCCUGCACUCACUUCCCUUUGCUGGAACCCUCACCCCAGGCCUGAACAGAGAUCUUUGUGGAAAACCUCUGGUACCCAGGCCCACAAACCUGGACACUGGGAGUUUGAAGGUGCUCCAUUGAGUCUAUGGGAAAGACAAAUUGGCCUUGUUUUUGGUUUUGUUUGGUUGGCUUUGGUUUUAAUUUUAUUUUACUUUUUACCUUUUUGGUGGUGGUAGGGCUCAGUGGUGGGAAAAUAAUCUGGAAGGAAUGGGAAUCGAGAAUGUUUGGGGUGGGGGUGUAUUGUACAAAAUUCCCAAAUAAUUGAUAAAACUAUUAUGAUGGGAGAAAAAAGAAAGCAAAAGAAUCAAGUAAAAUUUGGUUACCCACAUACUCUUGGGUCUGCGGUAUUCUCCUGAGGGUUGGCCAACAUAACCAGGCCUAAACUCUUUAAUUAAUGUACCAGGGCUGUGUGUGUGGAUUGGCAUAUCAGGGCAUACACUCUUGAAGACAGCUGAUUCUCCUUUUCCUAGCAGCUAUUACUUGCCAAUUUGUCUUAAGCUAAGAGUAGGAUUUAAUAAUGCACUUUUCUUUCACUCUGAGAUUCGGUUCCACACAAUUUUACACAGGUGUUUACGUACUGACAAACUGUAAGCUCAUGUGUAAAACUGUCAUGUUUUGUCCUAGACAAUGUGUUUCUCUUAUAGCCAUCCACUUCCUUUGACUUUUAUUAAUUUAAUCUCACCAACAUCUAGAUAUCUCUGAGCCUUUGGGAAGGGUUGUAGUAUAGAUACUUCAUUUUGAAAUGAGCAUUCCAUAAUAUUUUUUGUUCUGCAUCUUUACCAGUUCUGGGUCUCUGUCCUUAUUGCCAUCUACAAGCUCCCUGGAGAAGGCUGAGGGAUAAACUAAUCUAUUGUUACAGAAGUGAGCCAUUAGGAUUCAGUUUAAUACUAUGUCAAAUUGGCAUGUUGGUGAUGAUGAUGAUGAUGGUGAUGAUGGUGGUGGUGGUGGUGAUGGUGGUGGUAGUAGUAGUAGUAGUGGUAGUAGUAGUAGUAGUAGCAGCAGCAGCAGCAGUAGUAGUAGUAGUAGUAGUAGUAGUAACAGUGUCAGUAGAAGAUUCUUUUCCUAAGGCCUAUGAUUUGUUUAGGCAAAAUUUCUUGGCCCUGAUAAUAGUACCAAAUAUGGGAUUUGUCUUAUUGAUUAGGGAGGCCUGGCAGGGUGUUUAGGGUGGUGACAUCCUCUUAGAGAUGGGAGAGGUGAAAUGGAAUAAGAAACUGUGAGAGGCCAGACUGGGAGAGGGAUAAUGUCUGUACUG
rnacentral:lncRNA from 1 species